rnacentral:lncRNA from 1 species
UCUGUGCCUUCCCACAUCUCUUGCCCUGUGCAUCUCUCCCAUCUGGCUGUUCCUGAGUUACAGCCUUUUGUAAUAAGCUGGUAACUGAGCACGAAAAUGUUUCCCUGAGUUCUGUGAGCCGCUCUAGCAAAUUAAUUCAACCUGAAGAGGGGAUGAUGGGAACCUCCGAUUUAUAGUCCAUCAGUCAGAAGCACAGGUGGGUCAGAAGCACAAGUGACACCUGGACCUGGGCCCAAUGUCUGAAGCUGGGGACCAAAGCAGAUCCAGAGACGUUCUUGCUACCAGCCCAUGGUCUGUUCCAGUUGCUACAAAGAAGAGAUUUUGUUUUCACACGUGAAGGCGUGCUCCUCACUACCAAGGCAUGGACUUUGCUGCUUCUCACAUUUGUGUGUGUGUACAGAUGUGUGUGUGUGUAUAGGUGUGUGUGGGAAUGGGAAACAAGAGGCUGCAUAGGACAGAGAGAUCGCAAGCAGACUCUGGAGUCAGAUGGCCCAGGUUUGAAUUCUGCCUCUGCCACCUACUAACUGUGUGACCUUGGGCAGACACUUGAUCUUCCUGAGCUUCAGCUUCAUUGUAAAUGCCAUUGAGGAAGAUGGGCCCUGAGCUAACAUCUAUUGCCAAUCCUCCUCUUUUUGCUUGAGAAAGAUUGUCCCUGAGCUAACAUCCAUGCCAGUUUUCCUCUAUUUUGUUUCUGGGAUACUGCCACAGCAUGGCUUGAUGAAGAGAUGGACAGAGAGAUCCCAAUUCACACCUGGGAUCCAAAACUGCGGACCCUGGGCUGCUGAGCAGAGUGCACAAACUUAUCCUCUACGCUGCCAGGACAGCCACUAUUUAUGUUCUCCUUAAUUUCUUUCAGUAAUGUUUUGUAGUUUUCAUUGUGCAAGUCUUUCACAUUCUUGGUAGUUAAUUUCUAAGUAUUUUAUUCUUUUUUGAUGCUAUUGUAAAUGGAAUUGUUUUUGUCAUUUCCUCUUCAGAUAGUUCAUUGUUUGUGUGUAGAAAUGAAACAGAUUUUUGUAUGUUGACUUUGUAUCCUGCUACUUUGCUGAAUUCAUUUAUUAGUUGCAAUUUUUUUUUUUUUGGUGAGGUCUUUAGUGUUUUCUACAUAUAAGAUCAUAUCAUCUGCAAACAGAUAAUUCUACUUCUUCCUUUCCAAUUUGGAUUCCUUCUACUUUUUUCCUUGCUUAAUUGCUCUGGCUAGAACUUCCAGUACUAUGUUAAAUAGAAAGUGAAAGGUGAAAGUGAGCAUUUUUGCCUUGUUCCUGAUCUUAGAGGAAAAGCUUUCAGUCUUUCACCAUUGAGUAUGAUGGUUGCUGCGGGUUUUUACACAUGGCUUUUAUUAUGUUGAGAGAGUUCCUUCCACUCCUAUUUUGUUGAGUGUUUUUAUCCUGAAACAGUGUUGAAUUUUGUCAAAUGCUUUUUCCACAUCAAUUGAGAUAAUCUU